rnacentral:rRNA from 1 species
CCCGCUGAACUUAAGCAUAUCAUUGAGCGGAGGACAAGAAAACAACUGUGAUUCCCUGAGUAACUGCGAGUGAAUAGGGAAAAGCCUAUGCUUGAAUCCGGUGUGGAUGGAAUCGGAAACACCGGAAUUGUAGUGCAAGGGUUUUGGGCGAGGCGAACCAGUCGGAAGAAUCGCUCAGGAACGAGCAACCAAUGAGGGCUAUCGUCCCGUAUCCUCCGACGCGGUCGCUUCACAUGCUCUUCUCCCCAAGAGUCGGGCAGUUUGAGAAUGCUGUCCAAAACCGCAGGUGUACUCCUGCGAAGGCUAAAUAUUUCACCAAGACCGAUAGCGAACAAGUAGUGUGAACGAAAGAUGAAAAGUACUUUGAAAAGAGAGUGAAAAGUCCUUGACAUUGUUGGGCGCAAAGGGUAUGAGACCCAUUGUAUGCUUCUGCUUUUCAGCGUGAGCCGUCAACGCGAGUUUCUGGCUUCUGCAGGUUUUGCUCUGCUUCCCCGCUUCGGCGUGUGAGAGACAUUUCUGUUGCAGUAAGUUGGCGACUUGGCAGAGUCUUUAGCCGACCGCAUUUGAUUUUGGCUGUGUUUGCGUUGUCGAAGCAUCUUCUUUCGUGGAGGGUCUUCACAUUGCACCCAUUGUCACCAGGUGUUGUCGAGCUUUCGAAUCGUUGACCUUUUAAUGGUCUCUUACCACCCGUCUUGAAACACGG